rnacentral:SRP_RNA from 1 species
CUGUGCUAUGUGGGGAGCUAGCGGUGCCCUUCACUCGCAAGCCGCUACAGCGAGGCAGAAAGCCGCCUUCGGCGUAUUGUAUGGAAGGUCCGUUACCGCUCGUGUGACGAUGAUACCGGGGUCUUGUGCAACGUUAUACUGUGAACCGUGGCAGGGCUUGACGGCAGCAGCACUAAGCAGACCAUAAUG